rnacentral:rRNA from 1 species
UACGGAGGGUGCAAGCGUUACUCGGAAUCACUGGGCGUAAAGAGUAUGUAGGUGGACUAUUAAGUCUUGAGUGAAAGCCUGUGGCUUAACCAUAGAAUUGCUUGAGAAACUGAUAGUCUAGAGUCUGGAAGGGGCAGAUGGAAUUUCCAGUGUAGGGGUAAAAUCCGUAGAUAUUGGAAGGAAUACCAAAAGCGAAGGCGAUCUGCUGGGACAGUACUGACACUGAGAUACGAAAGCGUGGGGAGCAAACAGG